UACCCACUGUGGCAUUGCAUAUU
rnacentral:piRNA from 1 species